GAUGAACGCUGGCGGCGUGCCUAAUACAUGCAAGUCGAGCGAACAGACGAGGAGCUUGCUCCUCUGACGUUAGCGGCGGACGGGUGAGUAACACGUGGAUAACCUACCUAUAAGACUGGGAUAACUUCGGGAAACCGGAGCUAAUACCGGAUAAUAUAUUGAACCGCAUGGUUCAAUAGUGAAAGACGGUUUUGCUGUCACUUAUAGAUGGAUCCGCGCCGCAUUAUCUAGUUGGUAAGGUAACAGCUUACCAAGGCAACGAUGCGUAGCCGACCUGAGAGGGUGAUAGCCCACACUGGAACUGAGACACGGUCCAGACUCCUACGGGAGGGCGCAGUAGGGAAUGUUCCGCAAUGGGCGAAAGCAUGACGGAGCAACGCCGCGUGAGUGAUGAAGGUGUUCGGAUCGUAAAACUCUGUUAUUAGGGAAGAACAAAUGUGUAAGUAACUAUGCACGUCUUGACGGUACCUAAUCAGAAAGCCACGGCUAACUACGUG
rnacentral:rRNA from 1 species